rnacentral:scRNA from 1 species
CUGUCCUGUUUGCCCUCCUCUGUCAGUCAGUGAUGGUGUGCAGGGUCUCAAACAGAGGACACAAGAGAAAUCUCUGCCCAUAAAAGGGGACAAGUCCAAAGAUGAGGACUUUGUCCUAAAGGCAGGGCAGGACAAA